AAUUGCAAAAAAAAAAAAAAAGAAAAAGAAAGAAAACCUCACUCCUAAUGGUUUGUGGUAUGCUGUUUCACUAACCAAUUCUUUGGAGUAGUUCCAUCAUCGUUCCUAUGAUUUGCAAUAAGGAAAACGUUUUUCUUCAUCUAUGGAAAAUCGGUUGGAAGCUAGCGUGGUGUUUUUCAGUACAGCCCAUUAGUUGUGCACAAAAUUUCUACACCAAUCCAAGAAGCUGCAGUACGUGCCUGUCCUCGGCGACUGACUUUUGAUGCUUCGCGAUGAAGUCGUCCCAUUAGAUGGCGAUUAUUACAGUUAAAUCGCAUCUCCCUGGCCGGCAAGGCAACCAUGCUUUCACAGCAUCGAAGUGGCUGCUUUCAAGCUGCAGAAGAAAUGUCCAGGAUAUGUCUAUCUGGUAUGAGAACUUUGAAUUCUGGUGCACCAGUGAAUGACGAUUGGACAUUUGGACCUUGUUCUUUCUCCAGCAGUGCCUUUCAUAGCAUUCUUGCACUCAAAGCUGUCAAUACAGCAAUCCACGUCAGGACAUCUCUUUCAGAUUUUUUAACAGACUGUAAAGCAUAUACCGGUAUCAUUCUUCGAGCUGGGCGACGUGAAGAUUGUGGCCGAAACUUCUGUGCAUUGGAAGCUCCAUGGGAGUUACUCACGGUCAUGGCGUUGAACAGAUAGACAAACGAUUCGAUUCCAAAUGCAAGGCACCACAAAUAGUUCCUGAUUGCUGGCUUCAGAGGAUCCAUCCCAGUUGCUUUCGUCACGCGCAAUUCCUUUUUGGGUGGGACUUUGACAAACCUGGGCACUGGACACGCCUUUCAAACGAAGAUCUUUUUUUGUCUACCUCGAUGACGUUCUGCCAUAAAAAAGUGGACAUUACUGAUGGAAGGUCAUUACGACUUCAUGGCUAAUUACCUCAGGUACUACUUUUGACACUUCUCUUUU